GCGAGCUGGCCAGACACUCCGUCUUUCCCACAACAGGUGCAUUCAUCCAUCCGCCGACGGUUGGGGAGGUCUUGCUAGCUGGUGGGCUUGGCUCUUUACCCGUUGUCCCCGAGUAGCCCUCAAGCCUGGAUGUAGGUGAGCGUGAGGAUGCUACUAGUGGGUAGAAGGAUGACAGCAGGGACGGGGACGACCCCCCUCCCAUCACUUCCUAAGGUGAUGCACUUGCUCCUACCCCCCAAGCAGCCUCAGUCCCGGCAGCCCCCUCCCCCCGGCCUGGCCUGCCAGCUCAGGGUGAGCCCGGUCGGAUUGUCACUCGACGCCCACUAGUGGCUGAGGAGGCUCCAGUGCGCAGGCUCCGGGCACCGGAUAAAAGCGGAGCUGGCGAGUCCGGCGCCGUCUCGAUGGAGGAGCGAGAAACGCAAGAGGUCGGGGGGAGAAGCCGCAGAAAAAAUUGCAGCCAUCGUCAGCGCCGCCUCCCUGCCACCGUGUAUGGGGUAAAAGCUGCCGUUGCCGCUGCCGGUGCAGUCGCUGCCGCCGCCUCCUAUACUUCUUAGCACCGGGGAAGGAUUCCCCGCCGCGGGACAGUGUGCUGGGCGGGGAGCGGGAGUUCGUUUGUGUGGCGGUGAUUAAACGAGGGAGGGACAGAGCUGGUUUCUCGAACCGAAAAGGGGAGGCCAAGGAAUAAAACAGGGUUCUCCACUAAAAUCACACAGCGAUUACGGAUCUGGCUUUGGGGGCCUUUCCCCGGAAUGGCGGUUUCCGUCUUCUUGGCCCGCAGCACGACCUUGGGUGCUCCGUAAGAGGAGUGGGGAGAGGCAGAGGCGGUGUCGGCAGCCAAUCGGCGUCUGGUGAUUUCUGUCGGGCGCGUAGGGAUUGGCUGACGAUGACCUCAUGCUGCAGCAGCGGGUGGGGCCAGAGUCGUCGGGGGUGGCUGUUGCAAAGGCAGAGAGUGAGAAGUGAUGACGGUGAUCGUUGUCGCCGCGUCUUCUGUGGAACCCAAGCAGUGCCGAAGGAAGUCGCAAGGCUCUUCCCCGACCUUUUGCUCCUCUCCCUGCGCGAGGUGAGGGCCCUGGCUCGGCCUCUGCGAGACUUUGGGGCGCUGGUGCGGCCGUGGAGGCGCAAUUUCUCCUGUGACUUUUGUAACUGCGUCAGGGCAAGAUGGCGCUGGGUCUCCUUGGGGCGCGGGGGGAGAGGCACGUCCACCGCCGCCGCAGCGCAUGUGACCGGCUGCAUUCCUGUGGGGUUUGGCGGGGACCCAGGCAGGGCGGGGGAGGGGACCGGGUUUGGGCGGAGGAGAUGGUGGUGCGGUCGGCGUUGGCUGCCCGAAGAGGAAGAGAUGACUGUUUGAAAGCUCUUCCCCUCCCCCACUCCCCGCAGCAGAACAGCUGCGGGACGGGGGGGGGGGGGGGGAGCCCCUGAAAGGACACUCCUUUCGGGGUGUGCCAGCCACUGGUGGAGGAGAAGGUUUGACGCCUUCUUAUCUGCCUUUCUCCUUGCAAAGUAUGCUUACGUAAGGUGGCAGUUCCCUCCUGUAAGCCAACUAGGAGGCCCUGAGUGUCACUGGUAUGGGUAACAAGGACAGGUUAGGCUCUGAAGGCACCACGGGUAGGAGUGUUGAUUAUUUCAGACAAAACAUAAAGUUUGGGGGGUCUGAAUAGAAGACUACAGCAUUCUCAGAGUUUGAAAGCAAGUGAAUAACACCCAGGAACACUUAGGGUUUCUAGGCAGACAGCGAUUAAGGACUGCAUCACAGUCUGAACGGAAGGGCCCUGUCAAACCUUCUCCUUAGAUUCUUUGUGUUCAUUACCCUCCCUGUCUAUACAUCCCAUGAGAGAGUUUAAGUAAUCUUACUGGUGAGGGUUGCCUUUUCAAAUAUAAGUAUUCUUAGUAAUUUUAGUAUUUUGUUCUGUAUGAAACUGAAAGGUCAUUUUCUAUACUUCACGUUGCAUUUUGUCGUCCUUUUAAAAAUAAAAAAUGGAAUUACAAAUGC
ensembl:lincRNA